rnacentral:rRNA from 1 species
UACGAAGGGGGCUAGCGUUGCUCGGAAUGACUGGGCGUAAAGGGCGCGUAGGCGGAUGGCACAGUCAGAUGUGAAAUUCCCGGGCUUAACCUGGGGGCUGCAUUUGAUACGUGUUGUCUUGAGUUCGGGAGAGGAGAGUGGAAUUCCCAGUGUAGAGGUGAAAUUCGUAGAUAUUGGGAAGAACACCGGUGGCGAAGGCGGCUCUCUGGACCGAUACUGACGCUGAGGCGCGAAAGCGUGGGGAGCAAACAGG